rnacentral:ncRNA from 1 species
GAUCAUUGCGAUUAAGGUUUCAAUGACAGACUUAUCCAAACAAAAUAAAGGAUUCAAGCGAACCUAAUUCUCUCACCCUUGAGGUGUAAACACAUUAACAAGG